AACGAACUCUGGCGGCAUGCCUAACACAUGCAAGUCGAACGAGACCUUCGGGUCUAGUGUCGCACGGUUGCGUUACGCUUGGGAACCUGCCCUUAGGUUCGGAAUAACUCCCCGAAAGGGGUGCUAAUACCGGAUAAUGUCUUCGGACCAAAGAUUUAUCGCCUUUGGAUGGGCCCGCGUUGGAUUAGCUAGUUGGUAGGGUAAAAGCCUACCAAGGCGACGAUCCAUAGCUGGUCUGAGAGGAUGUUCAGCCACACUGGGACUGAGACACGGCCCAGACUCUUACGGGAGGCAGCAGUGGGGAAUAUUGGACAAUGGGCGAAAGCCUGAGCCAGCAAUGCGGCGUGAGUGAUGAAGGCCUUAGGGUUGUAAAGCUCUAUUACCCGGGAUGAUAAUGACAGUACCGGGAGAAUAAGCCCCGGCUAACUCCGUG
rnacentral:rRNA from 1 species